rnacentral:rRNA from 1 species
ACACGGUGGAUGCCCUGGCAGUCAGAGGCGAUGAAGGGCGUGCUAAUCUGCGAUAAGCGCCGGUAAGGUGAUAUGAACCGUUAUAACCGGCGAUACCCGAAUGGGGAAACCCAGUGUGAUUCGUCACACUAUCAUUAACUGAAUCCAUAGGUUAAUGAGGCGAACCGGGGGAACUGAAACAUCUAAGUACCCCGAGGAAAAGAAAUCAACCGAGAUUCCCCCAGUAGCGGCGAGCGAACGGGGAGGAGCCCAGAGCCUGAAUCAGCAUGUGUGUUAGUGGAAGCGUCUGGAAAGGCGCGCGAUACAGGGUGACAGCCCCGUACACAAAAGCGCAUGUGCUGUGAGCUCGAUGAGUAGGGCGGGACACGUGGUAUCCUGUCUGAAUAUGGGGGGACCAUCCUCCAAGGCUAAAUACUCCUGACUGACCGAUAGUGAACCAGUACCGUGAGGGAAAGGCGAAAAGAACCCCGGCGAGGGGAGUGAAAAAGAACCUGAAACCGUGUACGUACAAGCAGUGGGAGCCCCACCACCAAAGCAUUUGCUGUACCGCGUUGACGGAGCGAAGCGACGUCAAACCGAUAAAACA